GUUCCGUGAUGAGCGUAAAAUAGACAAGCAUAUGUCUGAUUGUGGGUGAUGUUAAUUUAACCGUCUGAGAAC